rnacentral:rRNA from 1 species
UACGAAGGGGGCUAGCGUUGCUCGGAAUUCCUGGGCGUAAAGCGCACGUAGGCGGUCUUUUAAGUCGGUGGUGAAAUCCUGGAGCUCAACUCCAGAACUGCCUUCGAUACUGGAAGACUUGAGUCCGGGAGAGGUGAGUGGAACUGCGAGUGUAGAGGUGAAAUUCGUAGAUAUUCGCAAGAACACCAGUGGCGAAGGCGGCUCACUGGCCCGGUACUGACGCUGAGGUGCGAAAGCGUGGGGAGCAAACAGG